GAUCCUGGCUCAGGAUGAACGCUGGCGGCGUGCUUAACACAUGCAAGUCGAGCGAAGCACUUAAGAAUGAUUCUUCGGAUGAGCUCUUUUGUGACUGAGCGGCGGACGGGUGAGUAACGCGUGGGUAACCUGCCUCAUACAGGGGGAUAACAGUUAGAAAUGACUGCUAAUACCGCAUAAGCGCACAGUGCUGCAUGGCACCGUGUGAAAAACUCCGGUGGUAUGGGA
rnacentral:rRNA from 1 species